rnacentral:rRNA from 1 species
UGCUUAACACAUGCAAGUCGAACGAGAACGGAUUUCUUCGGAGAUCUCAGUAAAGUGGCGCACGGGUGAGUAACGCGUAAAUAAUCUACCUAGAUGUUUGGAAUAACUGACCGAAAGGUUCGCUAAUACCGGAUACGCUUGAUUUUCAUAAGGAAAUUAAGGAAAGAUGGCCUCUUCAUGAAAGCUAUCGCAUUUAGAUGAGUUUGCGUACCAUUAGCUAGUUGGUGGGGUAAAGGCCUACCAAGGCAACGAUGGUUAGCGGGUCUGAGAGGAUGAUCCGCCACACUGGAACUGGAACACGGACCAGACUCCUACGGGAGGCAGCAGUGAGGAAUUUUGCGCAAUGGGGGAAACCCUGACGCAGCGACGCCGCGUGGACGAUGAAGGCCUUAGGGUUGUAAAGUUCUGUCAGUAGGGAAGAAAUGCGAAUAUAUUAAUACUAUAUUCGUUUGACGGUACCUACAAAGGAAGCACCGGCUAACUCCGUGCCAGCAGCCGCGGUAAUACGGAGGGUGCAAGCGUUAAUCGGAAUUACUGGGCGUAAAGGGCGCGUAGGCGGCCUGGAAAGUCAGAUGUGAAAGCCCACGGCUCAACCGUGGAAGUGCAUCUGAAACUAACAGGCUUGAGUAUGGGAGAGGAAAGUGGAAUUCCAGGUGUAGAGGUGAAAUUCGUAGAUAUCUGGAGGAACACCGGUGGCGAAGGCGACUUUCUGGACCAAUACUGACGCUGAGGCGCGAAAGCGUGGGGAGCGAACAGGAUUAGAUACCCUGGUAGUCCACGCCGUAAACGAUGGUCACUAGCUGUUUGG